rnacentral:rRNA from 1 species
GACGAACGCUGGCGGCGUGCUUAACACAUGCAAGUCGAGCGGAGCGGCGAACGGGUGAGUAACGCGUGAGUAACUGCCCCCCUCUCUGGGAUAACAGUUGGCAACGGCUGCUAAUACCGGAUAGUGGGGGAUGGCUCGCGUCCUAUCAGCUUGUGGGUGGGGUAGUGGCCUACCAAGGCGACGACGGGUAGCCGGCCUGAGAGGGCGACCGGCCAAAGUGGGCUGAGAUCCGGCCCAAACGCUUACGGGCGGCAGCAGUGGGGAAUAUUGUACAAUGGGGGAAACCCUGAUGCAGCAACGCGCGUGCGGGAUGACGGCCUUCGGGUUGUAAACCGCUUUCAGCCAUGACGCGGUAGUUGCAGAAGAAUCACCGGCUAACUACGUGCCAGCCGCCGCGGUAAUUC